CCUACGGGAGGCAGCAGUGAGGAAUAUUGGACAAUGGGGGAAACCCUGAUCCAGCCAUGCCGCGUGAGUGAUGAAGGCCUUCGGGUUGUAAAGCUCUUUUAGAUGUGAAGAUAAUGACGGUAACAUCAGAAAAAGCACCGGCUAACUUCGUGCCAGCAGCCGCGGUAAUACGAAGGGUGCAAGCGUUGUUCGGAAUCACUGGGCUUAAAGAGUGCGUAGGCGGAUCAGCAAGUCAGGAGUGAAAUCCCGGGGCUCAACCCCGGAACUGCUUUUGAAACUAUUGAUCUAGAAUCCCGGAGGGGCCAGUAGAAUUCUCAGUGUAGAGGUGAAAUUCGCAGAUAUUGAGAGGAAUACCAGUGGCGUAGGCGACUGGCUGGACGGGUAUUGACGCUGAGGCACGAAAGCGUGGGUAGCAAACAGGAUUAGAUACCCUGGUAGUCCACGCCGUAAACGAUGUGUGCUUGUUGUCGGGGUCUUUCGAUCUCGGUGACGGAGCGAAAGUUUUAAGCACACCGCCUGGGGAGUACGGCCGCAAGGUUAAAACUCAAAGGAAUUGACG
rnacentral:rRNA from 1 species